UGGGGAAUAUUGGACAAUGGGCGAAAGCCUGAUCCAGCAAUGCCGCGUGUGUGAAGAAGGUCUUCGGAUUGUAAAGCACUUUCGACGGGGACGAUGAUGACGGUACCCGUAGAAGAAGCCCCCGGCUAACUUCGUGCCAG
rnacentral:rRNA from 1 species